rnacentral:rRNA from 1 species
UACGUAGGGUGCAAGCGUUAAUCGGAAUUACUGGGCGUAAAGCGUGCGCAGGCGGUUGUGCAAGACCGAUGUGAAAUCCCCGGGCUUAACCUGGGAAUGGCAUUGGUGACUGCACGGCUUGAGUGUGUCAGAGGGGGGUAGAAUUCCACGUGUAGCAGUGAAAUGCGUAGAGAUGUGGAGGAAUACCGAUGGCGAAGGCAGCCCCCUGGGCCAAUACUGACGCUCAUGCACGAAAGCGUGGGGAGCAAACAGG